rnacentral:lncRNA from 1 species
UUUUUAUUUUGUCUAACUUUAUUGCGACAAAUUCAUUCUAAUAAAUAAUAAUUGCCCAAUCAGUUUGAAUGUAGGCGGGGCGCGUGAUGUCACCGCGUAACUAAAAGCUCCACUGUUUCUUUGCAGGUCAAGGAUUGUCCUGACUUUGAAGAAUGCCUGAAUUGCUUCGCCUUUGCUUUUCUGGUUGGCUGGCAAGUUUCAUCAUCCAAGUAUUUCAGAUCUAGAGGAGUGCAUGUUUUUCAUCAUGGCAUGGACCGUGGCUAUACGUUGACACAUGAGAAUUAUUAGAAUAUGGCAAAUAUUAUCAACUUAUUGUAUACGCUGGCUUUCGUGGGCUACCUGUGACAUGAAACAGAUAGGUGGGAGGGCUUACAGGUUGUCUGCAAUUUAUUAAUGCGCAAUUUGCCUAAAUGGGUAAUGCAAACACUUCAGCCAUGACAUCUUUAUUCGACACGGUAUGUUUUGAUCAACACAAGAUAGUUAAAUUGAAAUUCACCCUAGCAGGCAAUUGUCACAUCUAUUUUCUAUGCAAACUUACUAAAUGUCAACAAAGAAUCAUGAAACAAGUUAAUGGAAACAUAGCUAAUAUCAACCAGAGGGCGAACAUACUAUAUCUUGCAAGACUUUGGUUACAAUCAUCUUUUAGGGAGUGGUAAUGAGGUGACCAAUAAUGGUUACAACUGAGAACAGCUGUGUGGGUGAAUUUAGCGCGGAUUGAUAGUUUAACGAGACAUCAUCUGGCGAUAACAAGGAUGGGGAAGGCAGAAUUUGUAGGCUGAAUGUCAAAAUUGGCAUGUUCAAUCCCAUGAAUCCAUCGCCAGGGAGGCUAUCCCAUAACACAUUGAGGUGCAGCAAAAAUGUUGAAAAUAAUCGGAAUAAAUGGGGACAGAAGUCACCGGGUUGUAUAAGAUUUUUCAGAAGAAAAAGGAAUAACUUUGCAAAAUCUAAGGACUAAAGUGGACACCUGAUCGCGUUUCACUCCAUUACAUUGGCUUGGCAGGACAAAACAGUCAAGCCCGACAUGUUUGGAGGUUGAAGGACAUUCCUCCUAGACACCCUGCAGAUGUAAAGAACUUGUUGCGAACCUCCCGGCCACCAGGAUAAUCACCAUAUCCCAGAAUAUUAUUCAGGAGUGUGCAACAUCACAAUGUUAGAUAGAAAUAGAAUCACUUAUGUUAUUCUUUAUUAUGCAGAUAUGUCAGGACAACCUAACUUAUUACGCUCAUUCUCAAAUACAGAUGUGAUUUCUAUCCCAGUGGAUUGCACUGUACGCAAGUCUCCAAUUUAGACCACAAUUAGUUGAAUUGGGUGUUAGUGAAGGGCUGGAACAUAAACCUGUAAACUCCUGUGCUGUGCUUGUCAAAACUAAAUUUGCCCUCAUGUACUGAACAAGUUUAUGAAUGUUGGAGGUUAAUCUCCUUGAUGUCCUUCACCUGGAAAUGACUUAUUUUGUACAUUGGACUGUGUUUUAAGGACUCAUGCAAAAGUAUAGGAAAUUCAAUAAAAUGUUUAACAUUUAUUCAAAAUUACAAGUGUUGAAGUCGCCACAUGUUUCUGGUUUUGAGUCUUGAGCAUCUGGUGACUGCAAGGAGAAAUGCAUUAAUAUAUUAUAGUAUUCACUUAAUUGAAUAUAUAUAUAUUCCUGUUUGAUAUGCAUUUAUAGAAUUACAAUGGACAUGUCACCCUUUAUCACAUGCCAGUAUUUGUUUUGUAUCCAAUGCAUUUAACUUACCGUAAUUUCCGGACUAUUAAGCCCACCUGAAUAUAAGCUGCACCCACUGAAUAAAAAAAAAUAUAUUAUUUUGAACAUAAAUAAGCCGCACAUGUCUAUAAGCCGCAGGAGCCUACCGGUACAUUGAAACAAAUGAACUUUACACAGGCUUUAACGAAACACGGCUUGUAACAAAAAUAAAUAGGCUUUAACGAAACACGGCUUGUAACAAAAAAUAAAAAAUUUGCAGUAAGCUUUAGUUGUCUUUUUGCACUGAGUCAAUUCCUCACGCUGCUGUUUCCAAUGUCUUAUCAUCGACUCAUUAUUAAGACCAAGCUCCCGUGCAGCAGCUCUAUUUCCUUUUCCAACAGCCAGAUCAAUCGCCUUCAACUUGAAAGCUGCAUCCUACGCAUUUCUCCGUGUCUUUGCCAUGAUGAGGGUGACAAAAUGACUACCGUAAUCAGAAUGAUGGGAAGUUUGAGAGCGCUCGAUUUAAUCUAAACAGUAAACAAAAAAGUAGUUUGACCUUAACCCGUUCGGCAAUUUCAUUGGUCUAAUGAAAGCUUCAUGCCGCCAAAAAACUGAGCACGUCACAGAAUGUGUUUUUUUGGAGAAAAAAAAAUUGAAAGCGGGAAAAAUCCAUAUAUUAGCCGCGUCAUUGUUUAAGCCGCAAGGUUCAAAGCCUGGGAAAAAAGUUGCAGCUUAUAGUCCGGAAUUUACGGUACAUUAUGAUGAAGUAGCCUAGGC